GGCCAGCAGCCGCGGUAAUACGUAGGUGGCGAGCGUUAUCCGGAAUUAUUGGGCGUAAAGAGCGCGCAGGUGGUUGAUUAAGUCUGAUGUGAAAGCCCACGGCUUAACCGUGGAGGGUCAUUGGAAACUGGUCGACUUGAGUGCAGAAGAGGGAAGUGGAAUUCCAUGUGUAGCGGUGAAAUGCGUAGAGAUAUGGAGGAACACCAGUGGCGAAGGCGGCUUCCUGGUCUGUAACUGACACUGAGGCGCGAAAGCGUGGGGAGCAAACAGGAUUAGAUACCCUGGUAGUCCACGCCGUAAACGAUGAGUGCUAAGUGUUGGGGGUCGAACCUCAGUGCUGAAGUUAACGCAUUAAGCACUCCGCCUGGGGAGUACGGUCGCAAGACUGAAACUCAAAGGAAUUGACGGGGGCCCGCACAAGC
rnacentral:rRNA from 1 species